GUUUAUGCCUUAUACCUGGCAUUGUAUAAUAAAUAUUGUUGUCUCUGUGACAGUAUGCUUAUGAUCCUAGGUUCUUCCAUGCUGAAUGGCUGUGCUCUAGAGUCAUAUCUCCUGUCGAAGAACAUUUUUAGACAUUAUGAACCAUGAAUAAGUUUAGCUCCAACCCCAGUUAAGCAGACCUGAGCAGCUGAUGAAGGAUCAGCAGAAACUCUGCAGAACAUUGGUCCUUCAGCCCAGGACUGGACACCAGUGUUAGUGUCUGUCUCAGAACCUAAAGAAAAGAGGCCACACCUUAUAGGAAAUAAACGCCUCCUAAGUGUACGGAAAUACCUGGCUGAGGAGAUCAGUGACAUAAACCAGAUAAAACUGUCAGUGGUCUGAGACAGCUACAAUGAAGCCACAAAAACAGUUCAUAGUUCCUGUAUUUCUAUAAUGCAUUAAUGAAUAACAAUAAUUAAAAUAAAAUGAAAUGUCAAGGUUUUGUGUUAAUUCCAGCUAUGUUGAGUAUUCUGUGAAUAAUUUUGAUUUUAGGUGCAUAUUCUUAAUUCUUUGCAAAACAACCUGAACUGUUUGCUAUUGAAAGGUUGGUAUGUAGUUUAAAUAAAUAAAAAAUUAUAUUCUUGACAAAA